rnacentral:tRNA from 1 species
UCCCUGGUGGUCCAGUGGUUAGCACUUAGGGCUUUCACUGCUGUGGGCCUGGGUUCAAUCCCUGGUCAGGGAA